rnacentral:tRNA from 1 species
GGAUGGGUGCCCGAGUGGUUGAAGGGACCGGUCUUGAAAACCGGCAAGGGUUAACGCUCUUCGUGGGUUCGAAUCCCACCCCAUCCGCCA